GACGAACGCUGGCGGCGUGCUUAACACAUGCAAGUCGAACGGAAAGGCCCUGCUUUUGUGGGGUGCUCGAGUGGCGAACGGGUGAGUAACACGUGAGUAACCUGCCCUUGACUUUGGGAUAACUUCAGGAAACUGGGGCUAAUACCGGAUAGGAGCUCCUGCUGCAUGGUGGGGGUUGGAAAGUUUCGGCGGUUGGGGAUGGACUCGCGGCUUAUCAGCUUGUUGGUGGGGUAGUGGCUUACCAAGGCUUUGACGGGUAGCCGGCCUGAGAGGGUGACCGGCCACAUUGGGACUGAGAUACGGCCCAGACUCCUACGGGGGGGAGCAGUGGGGAAUAAUGCACAAUGGGCGGAAGCCUGAUGCAGGAACGCCGCGUGCGGGAUGACGGCCUUCGGGUUGUAAACCGCUUUCGCCUGUGACGAAGCGUGAGGUACGGUAAUGGGUAAAGGAGCAACGGCUAACUACGUG
rnacentral:rRNA from 1 species